AUUGAACGCUGGCGGCAGGCCUAACACAUGCAAGUCGAACGAGUGGCGGACGGGUGAGUAAUGUCUGGGAAUCUGCCUGAUGGAGGGGGAUAACUACUGGAAACGGUGGCUAAUACCGCAUACUAUCAGCUGUACCCAUAUGGGAUUAGCUAGUUGGUGGGGUAACGGCUCACCAAGGCGACGAUCUCUAGCUGGUCUGAGAGGAUGACCAGCCACACUGGAACUGAGACACGGCCCAGACUCCUACGGUAGGCAGCAGUGGGGAAUAUUGCACAAUGGGCGCAAGCCUGAUGCAGCCAUGCCGCGUGUAUGAAGAAGGCCUUAGGGUUGUAAAGUACUUUCAGCGGGGAGGCGUUACCCGCAGAAGAAGCACCGGCUAACUCCGUGCCAGCAGCCGCGGUAAUUC
rnacentral:rRNA from 1 species